UACGUAGGGUGCAGGCGUUAAUCGGAAUUACUGGGCGUAAAGCGUGCGUAGGCGGUUUGUUAAGACAGGUGUGAAAUCCCCGGGCUUAACCUGGGAACUGCGCUUGUUACUGGCAGACUGGAGUGUGGCAGAGGGGGGUGGAAUUCCGGGUGUAGCGGUGGAAUGCGUAGAGAUCCGGAAGAACACCGGUGGCGAAGGCGGUUAGCUGGGCAGUAGCUGACACUGAGGCGCGACAGCGUGGGGAGCAAACAGG
rnacentral:rRNA from 1 species